rnacentral:rRNA from 1 species
GACGAACGCUGGCGGCGUGCCUAAUACAUGCAAGUAGAACGCUGAAGGAGGAGCUUGCUUCUCCGGAUGAGUUGCGAACGGGUGAGUAACGCGUAGGUAACCUGCCUGGUAGCGGGGGAUAACUAUUGGAAACGACAGCUAAUACCGCAUAAGAGUAGAUGUCGCAUGACAUUUGCUUAAAAGGUGCAACUGCACCACUACCAGAUGGACCUGCGUUGUAUUAGCUAGUUGGUGAGGUAACGGCUCACCAAGGCAACGAUACAUAGCCGACCUGAGAGGGUGAUCGGCCACACUGGGACUGAGACACGGCCCAGACUCCUACGGGAGGCAGCAGUAGGGAAUCUUCGGCAAUGGACGGAAGUCUGACCGAGCAACGCCGCGUGAGUGAAGAAGGUUUUCGGAUCGUAAAGCUCUGUUGUAAGAGAAGAACGAGUGUGAGAGUGGAAAGUUCACACUGUGACGGUAUCUUACCAGAAAGGGACGGCUAACUACGUG